rnacentral:rRNA from 1 species
GAGUUUGAUCGUGGCUCAGGAUGAACGCUAGCGGCAGGCUUAACACAUGCAAGUCGAGGGGCAUCGGGAGGGAAGCUUGCUUUCCUUGCCGGCGACCGGCGCACGGGUGAGUAACACGUAUGCAACCUGCCCUCUUCAGGGGACAACCUUCCGAAAGGGAGGCUAAUCCCGCGUAUAUCGGUUUCGGGCAUCCGUUAUCGAGGAAAGAUUCAUCGGAAGAGGAUGGGCAUGCGGCGCAUUAGCUUGACGGCGGGUAACGGCCCACCGUGGCGACGAUGCGUAGGGGUUCUGAGAGGAAGGUCCCCCACACUGGUACUGAGACACGGACCAGACUCCUACGGGAGGCAGCAGUGAGGAAUAUUGGUCAAUGGGAGAGAUCCUGAACCAGCCAAGCCGCGUGAGGGAAGACGGCCCUAUGGGUUGUAAACCUCUUUUGUCGGAGAACAAAACCCGGGACGUGUCCCGGACUGCGUGUAUCCGAAGAAAAAGCAUCGGCUAACUCCGUGCCAGCAGCCGCCGCGGUAAAACCUGAAACUGCCAAGG